GGAAGUGAAAAGGAAGCAAACACCUUCUUCAGUAGGCAGCAGGAGAGAGAGAGAAAGAAAGCACCAUAUGUUUAUCAAACAACCAGGUCUCAUGAAAAUUCUAUCAGGAGAAAAGCAAGGGGAAAGUCCACUCCCAUGACUCAAACACCUAAAGAAGUUUGAUAAUAAUUUAAGCUUAUUGAAGACAUUACAUCAAGACAUUGAGGCUGAUAUGUUGUUGAGGAGAGUGUGGAUAUUAAAACACGCCCCCCCCACACACAUUAUGCAGGGACUUUAGUUGGUAGUUGAGAGAGAAAGAAGAAAUAGAAUAUGAGUUAGGAGUAAGAGGAAACAACAGAUGCUAUAUUUCUCUGCCUGUCAGGAAAGCCAUGAUGCAUAACUGUGAAAAAUAUUUUCUCUAUCUUUUUCCUCUUCCCAUUACACUGUUGUGAAGAACGCUGAGAAAAUAGAUUGGGUGAGAUAGUACACAAGAGGAAUCUGGAAUUGCAACCGAUGAAGAUGGCCUGGACACAGAUUUACAUUACAGUUUCUGAAUUCCUGGGAGCUGUCGUAUUGUUCACCACAGGUGGCAACUUUGUCAAGGUGAAAGAGGAAGAGAAGGAGAAGAAUGAGGACAAUAACAGCAAUAUCAAGAUGCCUGUGGGUAUAUUUAUAAGAAUUCCAAUAGGGAUGAACGUGUUCUGUAUCUUGAUUGUGACAGUGGUCACACAAAAGUACAUGUGGUGAUAAAAUUGCAUAGAACUAAAUAUGCCCAUAUACUAGCCUACACACAUGAGUUCAUUUUAAACUGAUGAAAUCUGAAUAAAUUAAGUAGAUUGUAUCAGUGUCAGUAUUCUGGUUGUGAUAUUUGAUUAUAGUUGUACAAUAUGUUGUCACUGGAGAAUACUAGGGAAAUAGUAUGAGACCUUUCUGAAUCAUUUCUUACAACUGCAUGUGACUCUCACAUUUGCCUUUGGGAAUUAUCACAAAAUAGAAAGUCAAAAUUAGUUUUGAAAUAUUCUAAAGUGAAUGCUUGUCACAAAAAUAACUGGAAAUCCUUGAAAUAAAAGCCAAGAGUGAUAUGAACAUAGUGGCCAUAAGAGACAUAGUAGAAUAAAACAAAUUUCCCAAAUAGUGACCUAUUUAAUAAACAGGCAAGUAUUGGAGGAUAAAUUAUGUUACUAUCUAUUCAAUAAUCUCAUUUGCUACAGUAAGCUUUUUCAUCUCAGCAGAAUGGCCUAAAAGGAACAGUACAGGGUGAAGAGGUCAGUAAGAAUUAGUUAAGACUUUCAUAAAGCAGGUUAAUGACCAGCUAAAUUCUAUAGAAAUUUACUUCACAUCUCCAUGCAGCAUUGGUUUGAUUAUUUAACUCUCCAGUCAAUUAGUUCAAAUAGCAUAUUCAGUAAAAGCUAUUAAACUAGUUGUGCAUGUAAAUAAAAUGGAUAAAAAUCCAGUUGCAACAGAAAAGUAAUAAAGAUAUUAAUUAAUUAGAAUUCUGCCUCUCAGAAUUAUUAAGACUUAAAAUCACCUUGAGCAAAAGUUUCUUUUCUCAGGAUGUCUAUAAAAUGUUUCUUUUUUCAGGAUGUCUAUAAAGUGCCUAGGAAAAAAAUGUACAAUGAGUUUCCAUUAUAACUUUUUUUAAAAAUUCGCGUAUCAACACAUCCAUGAGGCUUCUACAGGAAGGCAGAUGACCAUUCAAUACAAAAUACGUGUUCUACCAUUCAAAAAUGUUUGAAGAUGAAGUGAGUUCUCUUUUGAAGAUAGUAGGCUCUUUUCUUGAAUGUGUUCAAUCAUAGCAGUUGCAUAAAGUUUAACUGGAAAAAGUGUAAAUUGCUUUAGACAUGCGGAUUGUAUAAAAAUGUACUUCCUAAUUGAUGUAUUUUGAAAAUAGAAGACUUUAAAUCUUAAUGACAAAGUAAUUAAUUAACAAAUCUAGCCCCAAACUACAUUUGAAAAUGCAAACAAAAGAAGCCCAGAUGUUAGCGUUGCAGCUCGGAAUAGAAGUCAGGUAUCCUGAAACCAGACCUUGUUACUUGUCCUUUUCUCUCUGAAUAUUAACCAGCAUUAAGUCUCCAUUUCUUUUCCUUUUUCUUUUUUCCUUUUUUUGUUUUUGAGAUGGAGCCUCGCUCUGUCGCCCAGGCUGGAGUGCAGUGGCGCGAUCUCAGCUCACUGCAAGCUCUGCCUCCCAGGUUCACCCCAUUCUCCUGCCUCAACCUCCCGAGUAGCUGGGACUACACAACCUCUCUUAAUUUUCAUUCACAACAACCCUGUGAGGUUUGUACUAAUUAUUCCAUAUAGCAGAUGAAGAAGUGAGGCACAGGAAUGGCAAAUGACUUGCCCAGAAUGGCACAGUAUAUGAAAAGAGGACAUAAGAUUUUUUUUUUUCAUUUUACCAUGUGUCAGCAACCUAAAACGAAGAAGCUGAGGCAAAAUUAACAUAAAGUGUUUAUCUGGGCCAGGGUUGAGCACUGCAGCCCAGGACACACUUCCAAAAUGCCUCGGGGAGUGCACCAGAGAACAAAAGAGAGGUUCAGGUUUUUAAAGAAAAAGGGAUGAAUCAGAAGUGGUGGGUGCAAUUUCAAAAGUUGUUUAUCAGGAAUUCUCUUUGGUUUACAGAAAUAACAUUGCUUAAUGAUAGGUUAUAUAUUGUUGAACUAUAGAGUGUUUGGCAUUUUAUUGCGACUUGGCAUCCGUUAGUCCAGAGCCCACAGAGUAAGUGGUUUCAAGAGGUAAUUAUUUCAGUUCAAGGGGAUGUGACAAGACUAUCAUUUCAUUCCAAUGCCUCUCUGGUCCUGAUAAUUUAAAGUGGCUCACAUGUCUCAAAUAAAAAGUUUAUUUUGUUCUUCCUUUAUUUUUCACACCUUUAAAAAAAAGCAGGGCUACAAAGUAAUUUUGUUACAUAGUUAUUGGUAAAUUUAAAGAUAUAUGCAUCCUAGGAUGUACAACUUAGCAUUUACAUGUGUACCAUAGGUAUGCCCUUCCACAUGACAGAUGGAAACA
rnacentral:lncRNA from 10 species